UGGGGAAUAUUGCACAAUGGGGGAAACCCUAAUGCAGCGACGCCGCGUGAACGAAGAAGGUAUUCGUAUCGUAAAGUUCUGUCCUAUGGGAAGAUAAUGACAGUACCAUAGAAGAAAGCUCCGGCUAAAUACGUGCCAGCAGCCGCGGUAAUACGUAUGGAGCGAGCGUUGUCCGGAAUUAUUGGGCGUAAAGGGUACGCAGGCGGUUUAAUAAGUCGAAUGUUAAAGAUCGGGGCUCAACCCCGCAAAGCAUUGGAAACUGAUAAACUUGAGUAGUAGAGAGGAAAGUGGAAUUCCUAGUGUAGUGGUGAAAUACGUAGAUAUUAGGAGGAAUACCAGUAGCGAAGGCGACUUUCUGGACACAAACUGACGCUGAGGUACGAAAGCGUGGGGAGCAAACAGG
rnacentral:rRNA from 1 species